UACAGAGGUGGCAAGCGUUACUCGGAAUUACUUGGUGUAAAGGGUCCGCAGGCGGCCUAAUAAGUGAAAGGUGAAAUCCUUCGGCUUAACCGAAGAACUGCCUUUUAUACUGUUAGGCUGGAGGGCAAGAGAGGAGAGCGGAACUGCAGGUGUAAAGGUGAAAUUUGUGGAUAUCUGCAGGAACGCCGGUGACGAAGGUGGCUCUCUGGCUUGCUUCUGACGCUCAGGGACGAAAGCUAGGGGAG
rnacentral:rRNA from 1 species